ACGCACGCUGGCGGCGUGCUUCACCCAUGCAAGUCGAACGGAAAGGCCCCUUUGGGGGUACUCGAGUGGCGAACGGGUGAGUAACACGUGAGUAACCUGCCCUUGACUUCGGGAUAACUUCAGGAAACUGGGGCUAAUACCGGAUAGGAAUCCUUGCUGCAUGGUGGGGGUUGGAAAGCUUCGGCGGUUUUGGAUGGACUCGCGGCUUAUCAGCUUGUUGGUGGGGUAGUGGCUUACCAAGGCUUUGACGGGUAGCCGGCCUGAGAGGGCGACCGGCCACAUUGGGACUGAGAUACGGCCCAGACUCCUACGGGAGGCAGCAGUGGGGAAUAUUGCACAAUGGGCGGAAGCCUGAUGCAGCAACGCCGCGUGCGGGAUGACGGCCUUCGGGUUGUAAACCGCUUUCAGCAGGGGCGAAGCUUGUGGUGACGGUACCUGCAGAAGAAGCACCGGCUAACUACGUG
rnacentral:rRNA from 1 species